rnacentral:misc_RNA from 1 species
UGACGCCGCCGACCGACUGCACCGGAACAUUGUCGCUCUCGAGCUCGACGUUGUCGAUCGGACUGCCAUUGGCUGGGGCCUGGCCCCAUGUGACGGUGGCGGUUGCGUUCGAAGCGGUGGCCUGUGGCGUGGGGGGCACGCCCGGCAAGCCGACGACCUCGAGCGUGAUCUGGCCGAUCGCCUGGCCGGCCUCGCUACGACGGGCGUCCUGCACGGUGUACACGAGCCGCGCUGUGCCGAAGAACUCUGCGUUGGGCGUGACGGUGAUCGUCCGCCCGUCCGCGGCGAGCGACGCGUUGGCAGAACCGUCGACGGCGCCGACGUCGACGACCUGCAGGCCGCGGCCGAGUGGGUCGACGUCGUUGGCGAUGACAUCAAGCGACACCGCCACUCCCUGGGUCGUGCGCGCCGAGUCGGCGACCGCGUUCGGAGGUGGAGCGACGGACGGCGUGAUCGCAACGGUGACGGCGGCCUCGGCGGUGGCCCCGGCGCGAUCGAUCACGCGGUAGCGAGCGCUCACGGUUGUGUCGCCGGCAUCGAUCGGAGCGUCGACCGACACGGUGUCGCCGGCGACGGUCAUCCCCGCUGGCGCAUCGAUCAACUCGAAGCCGAGCUGGUCACCGCUGGUCAGGUCUGGAUCGGUGGCGAACGCGCUCAGCGAGACGGUGCCGAUGGUGCCGGCCUCGAUCUGCCCGGUGGCGUCGGUCGCAACCGGCGGACUGUUGGCCGGGGCGAUCACCUUCACCAUCACCGCGCCGGAGACGACGUGACCGUGCUGGUCGUCGGCGGUGUACGAGAACCCGGCCUCGCCCG